ACUGGAAGACAGAGUGAUCCUUUCCAUUCCCUGAGACCUCCGUGGGGGUCCUGGGGAAGUCCUGGUUCCCUGACCCUCAGCUGUCCCUCCUACUGAGCUCAGCUGUCCUCUGGCAGGAGGCAAGCACUGUUCAGAGGUCGCUGAGGAGAGAGGCAGUGAGCCAUGCAGCCCACUGAACCAUCGGAUUAACUAUGCCUACUGACUGCACUUGGCCUCCAAGGUCAGGCCUUGUGUUUCAGGAUGUCCUGACAUCCGGCAGGAACUAAAUCACUCUCGCUGUAGGUCCAAGCUUACAAGACAGUUUGGACAUUCUGGGUGGCAACCUUAUCAGAGCUGCUUAGAUCACACUCUAGCCUGAGUCUGCUCUCUUACCCUCCCCCACCCCAUGGCACUGUCACUGUGGGGACAGUGGAGCCCUGUGGCUCACCUUUGUUCUCACGAGGCCUGCCAGCUGUCCUUUGGCGAAGAGCUGGAAGCGUGCAGUGUGGCCCUGGGCGCCCUUUCUGCAGUCUGAGGCGUCAGCGGAGAGAGGGUCGAGACCUUCCUAAAGCCUAUGCAGAAGGCCAUGAAUCUUUUGUCAACAGCUCUUGGGGCUGUUUACCAAGCCCUGCAGGUGGCAGGGGGAGGUUCAGCUCUGUGGAGGCCACAGUGAGUUAGACCCCUGAGGAAAGAGAUGGCUUCUGACAAGCUGUGUCACCUGGAGAGAGGAAGCGUGUUCCCUGGGCCUUACAUGGGAAGUGAGGGUGAGGCAGCCCUGAGCUCAAGACAGCAGUGGGGAGUACGGGAGAGCAAGAACAUCCCAAGGAGCGGAGAUGUGGCCAGUACAUAUUACACACUCCUGCCGGAUCCAGAACAGACAUAACUAAUCAACCAUGCUUUCCUUCUUAUUCAUGCUGUUUCUUGGCUUGCCAUUCUAUGAACUACCAUUAUAAUGUCAUGUCUGCCCCUUCUGGUGCCAUGAGCCAACAGUAAAUCUUUUCUCCCU